AAAGAAACCAACAGGGAUUGCCUCAGUAACGGCGAGUGAAGCGGCAAGAGCUCAAAUUUGAAAGCUGGCCCCUUCGGGGUCCGCAUUGUAAUUUGCAGAGGAUGCUUCGGGAGCGGUCCCCAUCUAAGUGCCCUGGAACGGGCCGUCAUAGAGGGUGAGAAUCCCGUAUGGGAUGGGGUGUCCGCGCCCGUGUGAAGCUCCUUCGACGAGUCGAGUUGUUUGGGAAUGCAGCUCUAAAUGGGUGGUAAAUUUCAUCUAAAGCUAAAUAUUGGCCGGAGACCGAUAGCGCACAAGUAGAGUGAUCGAAAGAUGAAAAGCACUUUGAAAAGAGAGUUAAAAAGCACGUGAAAUUGUUGAAAGGGAAGCGCUUGCGACCAGACUCGCCCGCGGGGUUCAGCCGGCAUUCGUGCCGGUGUACUUCCCCGUGGGCGGGCCAGCGUCGGUUUGGGCGGCCGGUCAAAGGCCCUCGGAAUGUAACGCCUCUCGGGGCGUCUUAUAGCCGAGGGUGCCAUGCGGCCAGCCCGGACCGAGGAACGCGCUUCGGCUCGGACGCUGGCAUAAUGGUCGUAAGCGAC
rnacentral:rRNA from 1 species